rnacentral:rRNA from 1 species
UACGGAGGGGGCUAGCGUUAUUCGGAAUUACUGGGCGUAAAGCGCACGUAGGCGGCUUUGUAAGUUAGAGGUGAAAGCCUGGAGCUCAACCCCGGAACUGCCUUUGAGACUGCGUCGCUUGAAUCCGGGAGAGGCGGGUGGAAUUCCGAGUGUAGAGGUGAAAUUCGUAGAUAUUCGGAAGAACACCAGUGGCGAAGGCGGCCCGCUGGACCGGUAUUGACGCUGAGGUGCGAAAGCGUGGGGAGCAAACAGG